GACGAACGCUGGCGGCGUGCUUAACACAUGCAAGUCGAGCGGUAAGGCCCUUUCGAGGGUACACGAGCGGCGAACGGGUGAGUAACACGUGGGUGACCUGCCCUCAGCUCUGGGAUAAGCCUGGGAAACCGGGUCUAAUACUGGAUAUGACUCCAUGACGCAUGUUGUGGGGUGGAAAGCCUUGUGCGGCUGAGGAUGGGCCCGCGGCCUAUCAGCUUGUUGGGGGGUGAUGGCCUACCAAGGCGACGACGGGUAGCCGGCCUGAGAGGGCGACCGGCCACACUGGGACUGAGACACGGCCCAGACUCCUACGGGAGGCAGCAGUGGGGAAUCUUGCGCAAUGGGCGAAAGCCUGACGCAGCGACGCCGCGUGAGGGAUGACGG
rnacentral:rRNA from 1 species